rnacentral:rRNA from 1 species
GGGGAAUAUUGGACAAUGGGCGCAAGCCUGAUCCAGCCAUGCCGCGUGAGUGAUGAAGGCCCUAGGGUUGUAAAGCUCUUUCACCGGUGAAGAUAAUGACGGUAACCGGAGAAGAAGCCCCGGCUAACUUCGUGCCAGCAGCCGCGGUAAUACGAAGGGGGCUAGCGUUGUUCGGAAUUACUGGGCGUAAAGCGCACGUAGGCGGAUAUUUAAGUCAGGGGUGAAAUCCCAGAGCUCAACUCUGGAACUGCCUUUGAUACUGGGUAUCUCGAGUAUGGAAGAGGUGAGUGGAAUUCCGAGUGUAGAGGUGAAAUUCGUAGAUAUUCGGAGGAACACCAGUGGCGAAGGCGGCUCACUGGUCCAUUACUGACGCUGAGGUGCGAAAGCGUGGGGAGCAAAC